UUCAUCCAGAAGGGUGGAGGGAGUAGGCCCUGCGAAACCCUGGCAACCGCCGCAGCUUCGGCUGUGGAAAGGUGCUACCUCCUACCUCGCACAGCGCGAGGGAAGAUGAGU
rnacentral:ncRNA from 1 species